rnacentral:autocatalytically_spliced_intron from 1 species
AGGAGCCGUAUGCGGUAGUUCCGCACGUACGGAUCUGUGCGGGGGGCGAGGAGCAAGCCUAGUCCCUACCUCGAC